ensembl:lncRNA
GUAAGCCAGACUUUCCUUUCAGGACCCUAUGUCAGAUUGAGUCAUAUACAAAGCAGCUGUGGGGGCAAACAGAACUGCACAAGGAGGAGGCAAAGCUAAGAAGAAUCUGCUGCUCCCCUUGAUGAUAUCAUCAUCUUCCUUCUCUUUCUGCAAUGCAAUAUUGCAUUCUGAUUGUGUUUAAUGAUGGUUCCUUCCUGUUUAUCAAGGACUGCAUCAAAAUGGAGUGUUUCCUUCAGUGCUGACUCAGACAGAUCUUUGCAGAAACUCUCAAUGUGAAAAUUCUACAAACAACAUCAAAAAGGCAUAUGCAAGGAUUGAACAGUUCUUUCAAAGCCAAAAUGCUGACUCCUCUGGAGAUGGCCACCCGAGUUACAUACAUGGUAGCCUCACUGGGGUUAAAGUAGACCACUGCAAACCAGGCUUUGGGAAAAACCUAAACACUAGCAAAGAUCAUAUGAAAUGUCCAGGAUGCUGUGCUCCAAUGUCCAGGAGUUCAGCGAAGAACCCAGUUCAGGCCUCAGAAAUAACAAAGGCCACGAUCAAGCAACCUUCACAUCAGGAAUACACAAGUGUCAGCCAAGAAUUCCGCAUCUCAGCAGUCCUCCCUCCCUGCUAUGUUGGAUCGGGUGCCACUAAUAAAACCAUGGGCUGCAGAUUUGUCCCAGAAUCAGCUAAUGGAUUACUUCAAAACAAUACAUUUUGCCAGCAUAUCUUUCUCUGGAAAUGUUACCUUGAUGACUUUUUCUGUAUUUGGAAUGUCUCAGAAGAAACAGUGAUAGUGUUUCUAUCCUUUUCUAACAAUAUAUAUAGUUCCAUUACAGUUUUGAUUGUGUUUAUUUUCUGAAUAUUGAAGUCUUCUUGUCCCAAGGAGUUUUUGUUAACUGAUAUAGUUAAGAAAACUACAGAUGUAACUAGAAAACUCUACAGCCACAGACAGGUAUAGAGUGCCCCCCUAGAAGCUGCUGUGAGAUGUGCCAUUGUCAGGGCUGCAGGGGAUCCUUGAGCACCGUGCUCUAUGGCUAUUUUUGCAAGUUGUGUGAGUUAUCUGCUGUUGCUGCCAUUGCUGCAGUUAACAAGAGGGACUGCGUUUUACGUGUAUCCUAGGGCAUCACCAUGUUUCAAUAGGAACAUAACGCAGUUUUCCUGGAACAUGGUCUAUGACAUUAAGACCUAAGUGUAGUUAACAGUAGUUGGAUCGCUGGGAGACACAGCAAAUUGAACACUACUUAGACCAUGGGUCAGUGUAAAUAGAGGUUUUCCCUCACAAUUAGCUAUCAAUGUUAGAGGAAAAAAAUGCAUCAAUCAAAACUGUGUAAAUUGGGGAAGUACUAUAUAUUAAGGAGAUGAGUGUUGUCCCUGUAGCUAGAUGGUACACCUUCAGAAAAUAUGGUUUACUCACUAAGCUACCAUAGACAUCACAGAGUAACAAAGGCGCUGAUUGUCUGCAUUCUAAUUCAUAGUACUUCACAAAACCAAACUAUUCCCUAAGAAUUUCCUUUCCUUUUCUUUUUUUUUAAGGCACCUCUAUGCAUGUACCUAGGCAUUGUAGAUCAGCAAAUGACAGUUGCAGCCAUUUCUCAGCACUCCUCAGAGCUGCAGUUCCUGCCACUCUGCAGAGGAGUAAUUUCAGUUUUGAAAAGCAACUUCUCUCUUAAAGGACACAGAGGCUGCGUUCCGACACGGCAUUUAAUCAGUUUACAGGCCGUCUUCAGUUCCCGCUGUCCNGACAUGAUCUUGCUGUUC